UGGUUACUGAAGCUGUAGGGCUGGAUGCUCUCGUUUUCCCUGAUCCUUCAUCUGUAGUUGACAGUCUGGUCGAUGAGGCUAGUGUGAUGGCGCAAGGCGCGGGGGCCGAAGAAGAGGUUGUUUCCGGUGGUGCAUCAUUUGAAAAUGCUGAUCCGGACACGGAGAUCCCGCAGUGGUGGUUGGAGGAAGAGACAACGGAUUUUGACCCUUGCAUGGCGCAUGCGGGGGCGGUGGGUGCAUGCAAGCUGUUGGAUGGGGAUCACAUGUCAGGAACGUGGGAUGCUGAAGCUGGGUGUGAGGAAGAUGACGCUGAGAGCCCUCCAUGCAAGCAUCCAAGGAUAUGAUAUUUUCAACGACAUAAUGUAUUAGGUUGAUGCAUGCUAGUGUUUGAGGCCGUGUGUGUUGCUUAGAAUGUCAACUAAACGUACUUCAAGGUGUUAGUGGUGUUGUUCGCCACGUGCAUUUUUCAGUUUCAUUCUCACUAUGUGUGUGUGUUGCUAAAAUGGAAAA